rnacentral:tRNA from 1 species
AGGUAUUUAGUUUCAAUAAAAACAUUUGAUUUCGGCUCAAAAAACUAUGGUUCAACCCCAUAACUACCUG